GGAAAAAUGAGUUGAUUUUAAAUUUCAUGGCAUCAACACAUCUCGAAAAAGUUGGGACAAGGCCAUGUUUACCACUGUGUGGCAUCCCCUCUUCUUUUUAUAACAGACUGCAAACGUCUGGGGACUGAGGAGACAAGUUGCUCAAGUUUAUGAAUAGGAAUGUUGUCCCAAUCUUGUCUAAUACAGGCUUUUAGUUGCUUAACUGUCGUAGGUCUUCUUUGUCGCACCUUCCUCUUUAUGAUGCGCCAAAUGUUUUCUAUGGGUGAAAGAUCUGAACUAGAGGCUGGCCAUUUCAGUACCUGGAUCCUUCUUCUAUGCAGCCAUGACAUUGUAAUUAAUGCAGUAUGUGGUCUGGCAUUGUCAUGUUGGAAAAUGCAAGGUCUUCCCUGAAAGAGAUGACGUCUGGAUGGGAGCAUAUGUUGUUCUAGAACUUGGAUAUAACUGUCAGCAUUGAUGGUGCCUUUCCAGAUGUGUAGGCUGCCCAUGCCACACGCACUCAUGCAACCCCAUACCAUCAGAGAUGCAGGCUUAAGAACUGAGCGCUGGUAACAACUUGGGUUGUCCUUGUCCUCUUUAGUCUGGAUGACAUUGUAUCCCAGUUUUCCAAAAUGAACUUCAAAUUUUGAUUUGUCUGACCACAGAACACUUUUCCACUUUGCCAUAGUCCAUUUUAAAUGAUCCUUGGCCCAGAGAAAACGCCUGCGCUUCUGGAUCCUGUUUAGAUACAGCUUCUUUUUUGACCUAUAGAGUUUUAGCCGGCAACGGCGAAUGGCACGGUGGAUUGUUAUCAUUCCUGUAUGUGAUGCCGUGCCGUCUGAGGGCCCGAAGAUCACAGGCAUCCAGUAUGGUUUUCCAGCCUUGACCCUUACGCACAGAGAUUGUCCCAGAUUCUCUGAAUCUUUGGAUGAUAUUAUGCACUGUAGAUGAUGAUAACUUCAAACUCUUUGCAAUUUUUCUCUGAGAAACUCCUUUCUGAUAUUGCUUCACUAUUUUUCGCCGCAGCAUUGGGGGGAUUGGUGAUCCUCUGCCCAUCUUGAAUUCUGAGAGACACUGCCACUCUAUACCCAAUCAUGUUGCCAAUUGACAUAAUAAGUUGCAAAUUGGUCCUCCAGCUGUUCCUUAUCUGUACAUUUAACUUUUCCGGCCUCUUAUUGCUACCUGUCCCAACUUUUUGAGCCAAUAUUUGGCAAGACAUUACAAAAUGUC
ensembl:lncRNA